rnacentral:ncRNA from 2 species
CAUAUUCAGAAUCAUUCGGGUGCUUGCGCGGACAUGUCCGAUUCCGCCAGGCUUAAUAGGGAAGUCCGGUUGAAGCCGGCGCGGUCCCGCCACUGUGAAUGCCGAGCCUCUGCGCAUGCAGCCACUGCCUUUAUGGCGGGGAGGGGCGCACGAGACGAUGAAGCUGUAGCCAGGAGACCUGCCCGAAUGUCUGCGCAUCA